GCCCGCGAAGCUCAGAGGGCGGAGCACUCGAUUGGAAAUCGAGAGGUGGCGAGUUCAAUUCCCGCCGCGGGCU
rnacentral:tRNA from 1 species